UACAGAGGGGGCGAGCGUUGUUCGGAAUUACUGGGCUUAAAGGGCGCGUAGGCGGGCUCACAAGUCAGGGGUGAAAUCCCACGGCUCAACCGUGGAAGUGCCUUUGAUACUGUGGGUCUUGAGGGAGGUAGGGGCGUGCGGAACUUCCGGUGGAGCGGUGAAAUGCGUAGAUAUCGGAAGGAACACCGGUGGCGAAAGCGGCGCGCUGGACCUCUACUGACGCUGAGGCGCGAAAGCCAGGGGAGCAAACGGG
rnacentral:rRNA from 1 species